GUGAAGCUCGUCUUUGUUCCUUGGGCAAUAAUGGAUGAUACCAUAAAUGGCAUGUCACAGAACAGAAGUGAGGGCGACCUUUAUUAGAUUAAAUAUGUUUCCCCACCCAGUGCUCUGCAGAUCGUGGGAUUUCUAUCAGAAGACAGACAACAGGGACUGAACUGCAUGCAGCCAAGAGCUUCCCAAAAUUGUACUGGUCCCAAGCUGAAAAGUGUGGAGCAUCUGUUCAAGAUUGUUGAAGGACACAUAAACCAAGUGUCCAAAAAGGAAGUGACAGCCCCGGCAAUAAACUCAAUCAACAAGCAUUUGUUGAACAGCUAAAGAGCUGAGUCACUGCUUUAGACACAGAUAAGGGGAUGAGAUAAAAAUCCUGACAUGACUUGGGGCAUCCAUGUGACCAGUGCUGGGGAAUCCCACAAGGACGGAGACCAGAGAAUCAAGAUAAGACUACCAAGGCAGCCAGCCUUCCCAUGUCACAGAUGUCAGCCUCUCCUCCUCUGUGCCCGCAGGCAGGCACCUGCCAUGGAGCAAGGGCAAAAAAAAAAAAAUCUCAACUUGGAAAACUGGGAGAUGUAUACACAGGGCAACUAGAAACCGAGAGAGAGAUUGUGGAGAGGUGGAAGUGGCAUGCUUAAAAGCGUAAGAAGAGAGGAUGCUGGAGAUGCCUGUGAAGGAGACCUUGGCCCUGCCUUCCUGAGGAAUGUUCUGGAACUCUCAUCCUCAGAGCACCAGAGUGUGCAAGUCAGUCAACAACCAUGCAGGCCCAGUGGUACAAGAGCAAACGGCAUGCCUGCAUGGAGUGUCCAGGCAGAUGGGCCCAAGACAGACCCGUGGCUUUCCACAGCUCAGAGUGGCUUAGGGACAUGGUAAUGCUUCCCAAAGGCUUCAUCCACGUGGACCAGAGAGCCAACAGGUGCCAGGCAAUGUCGGACAGCUUGAGGAGCAUGCAGCGGUGAGCUGCAUGGAUAGAUGGCCAAAGGCCAGAUAGGAAGAAGGCCACCUCCGGGACAGGUGCCAUCUACCAAGGAACAGAUGCUCACCCCCUCCCGCUAGCUGAUACCCCAACCUACCCAACCUGAAAGAAAAAGCAGAGAACUUCAGACCAAGACAAAUUUCUACCAUGACUGGGGAGCCAGGGCCCAAAGAAAAAGUAGGUUCAGGUCUAGAAAUGAAAAGUUAUUUCUUGCAGACAGCCAGAGUUUGAAUAAAAUCAGAAAGUCCCAUGUGAAGGCAGUCACUAGAGCUCACGGCUAAGAGUGUAGGUGAUCUGGAGUCUGGCUGACUCUGGUCUCUGUUCUGCUUCUGGGAAGCCAUCUCUGACCAGUUACUUACCUUCUCUCAGACUCUAUUUGCUCAUCUGUAAAACAGAGAUAAUAUUAAUAUCUCCUAAUAGGUUAUAUGUGUUCAAUAAAACAUUACAUGUAAACCCCCUGAGGGGUUGUUUCAUGCUAAGCAUUCAAUCAAUGCAGAAUAAUGGCAUCAUUAGAAAGGGAGGGAGUUGGGGAGGGGUCUUGGGGCAAGGGCGGGUGAGGGGUCUUUAUGGAGUUCCCUGUGGUAGAGAUUCAGGAGAACACUCUCUGAGAGCCAGCAUAUGGCAGGAACUUCCCAAGCCUGCUGAGGGUGCGGGAGAGUGGGCUUUACCUAUGCACUAAGCACAUGGUCCCCAUGUGAUCCAAGUCAACGGGAGCUAAUAUAACUUUAUGGUCAAGGGUGUGGAUUCUGGCAUCCGACUGCCUGGACUUACAUUACUUACUAGCUGGGCAAGUAUCCUUAGGUAAGUUACAUAACCUCUUUAUUUAUACCUUAGUUUUGUCAUCUGCACAAUGGGAAUAAUCGUUCCUGUUUCACAGAGCUGUUCCGAGACUUAAAUGAAUGAAUAUAUGCAAAGAGCUUUUCUAAGCUUUCCUUCCUGGCAUGCUGACUGACACACACUGUAAAUAUUAGCCAUUAUUAUUCUGAUUUUGCUCCCAUCCAAGUUUACACUUCAGCUGCUAGAAUCCCUCAGGAUCUCAAAUCUGAUUUAUCUUCCAACAAUAAAACCCAUCCAAACUCCAAGGCCAUUUUCCAGCAAGGGAGAGUCACAUCAAAAUAAGAACGCUAAAGCUACCAAUAUUCAAAUGAAGAUAGAGAAUGGGGCCCUCCUCCUCCAUGCAACCCUGGAAUAACUCUCACUUGUGCGUCAGAGGGGAGCAAAAACAUCAGCAAGAGGGCCCAUUACCGAAAGUGAGGGACUUACAGCAUCAGGGAAACCUCACUGACAUAAGACAUGAAUCAAUCCAAGAAGGAACAAAAGGGCAGCUUGUUUGCAGAAGAUAUUCCAUGCUUCUUAUAUAUUUUGGAUAUAAACCUCUGUUAAUGGAAAAACCAAACUCUGUAAAAUAUUUUAAAGAGGUUUAUUCUGAGCCAAUAUGAGUGACCAUGCCAAGGGAACAGAGUCUUAAGAGGUUUUGCGAAAGUGUGUCUACAGCAGUUAUGUUACAAUUUGGUUUUAUACAUUUUAGGUAUGUAUAGGUUUACAUCGGUUUUAUACAUUUAUACAUUUGCAAAUAUUUUCUCCCAUUCAAUAGGUUGUCUCUUCGUUCUGUUGACUGUUUCCUUUGCUGUACAGAGACUUUUUAGGUUAAUCCUAUUUGUCUGUUUUCACUUUUGUUGCCCCUAUUUUUGGGGUCAUAGAUCAAAAAAUCAUUGCUCUGACCAGUGUCAUGGAGCCAUUGCCCUAUGUUUUCUUCCAGUAGUUUUAUAGUUUCAGGUCUUACAUAAAGUCUUUAAUCCACUUUAAAUUAUGUUUUUGUAUAUGGUGUGAGAUAAUGGUCUAAUUUGAUUCUCCCGC
rnacentral:lncRNA from 10 species